AUUGAACGCUGGCGGCAGGCCUAACACAUGCAAGUCGAGCGGAUGACGGGAGCUUGCUCCUUGAUUCAGCGGCGGACGGGUGAGUAAUGCCUAGGAAUCUGCCUGGUAGUGGGGGACAACGUUUCGAAAGGAACGCUAAUACCGCAUACGUCCUACGGGAGAAAGCAGGGGACCUUCGGGCCUUGCGCUAUCAGAUGAGCCUAGGUCGGAUUAGCUUGUUGGUGAGGUAAUGGCUCACCAAGGCGACGAUCCGUAACUGGUCUGAGAGGAUGAUCAGUCACACUGGAACUGAGACACGGUCCAGACUCCUACGGGAGGCAGCAGUGGGGAAUAUUGGACAAUGGGCGAAAGCCUGAUCCAGCCAUGCCGCGUGUGUGAAGAAGGUCUUCGGAUUGUAAAGCACUUUAAGUUGGGAGGAAGGGUUGUAGAUUAAUACUCUGCAAUUUUGACGUUACCGACAGAAUAAGCACCGGCUAACUCUGUGCCAGCCGCCGCGGUAA
rnacentral:rRNA from 1 species